CCACUUCUUGUGUAAUGUUUUCACUUCAAACAAAAACAAGGGGGUUAAACCCUGAGCCACCUUGGACUGGCCUUCUGGGAAAGGUGUGUCUUUUGCAUUAAAUCCUCCCUACUCGAAUUACCCUGCUGCCAUGGCCCCGGAGCUGGAGAGGAAGUGAAAGUAACUUGCAAGCUAAUGUUACAGCUGCCAGAAACAAACACAGAGCAGACGAAGCCAACAAGCUAGCUAACUUGUUUACCAAUAAACUGUCCUUGUAGCAGGGAAAACAGAAGCAAGAAUCAUUCUUGGUUCUUGGAUCUGAAUCAAGUCGACCCCAAAAGAAAAAAAGAAGCAAGCAAAAGACUGCCCAUGACCAAUCCAUAAACCGGAUAAACAUUGGAAUUAAUUUUGAAAGGUGGAAGAGUGAAUCCAAAAUGGUCAUCGUUCUCAUGGACUUGUAGACCAGGCUCCCAGAACGUGAAGGCAGACGCAUUGGAUAGACAGACAGCGAACGCCAGCACUUUCGCACAGCCAUUGAAGAGGAGUGGGACAACAUUUCACAGGCCACAAUCAACAGCCUGAUCAACUCUACAGUAUGCGAAGGAGAUGUGUCACACUGCAUGAGGCAAAUGAUGGUCACACCAGAUAAUGACUGGUUUUCUGAUCCACGGCCAUACCUUUUUUUUAAGGUAUCUGUGACCAACAGUCAUGUGAAAUGCAUAGAUUAGGGCCUGAUUAAUUUAUUUCAAUUUACAAAUUUCCUUAGUUGAACUGUAACUCAAACAAGUGUCUCCUCCUCCAGGUAGACCCAUUGUAGCAGCGAUCGAAUCUGAUAUCCAACAUUUCUAAGUUUGUGGAUUACCACAUUAAACCGAUGGUUGCGAAUCUCCCAUCUUAUGUCAAAGACACCAGUCACAUUGAUAAAGGGCUUAGGAAGGAUACCAGAGGGCACCCUGCUGGCCACUUUUGAUGUGGAGAGCUUGUUCACUAACAUCCCACACACUGGAGGCUUGCAGGCUCUGCUACACUUCCUUCAGCAGAGAGACUAUACCCUUGCUCCAUCCAAUGAUUGCAUCUUACAACUUACUGAACUGGUAUUAUCCAAUAACUACUUCAUCUUUGAGUCAGACUUUUUCAUUCGAAUUCGGGGUGCCAUGGGCUCCCCCUUUCCCCCCAACUAUGCAAACCUGUAUGUGGGACAAUUUGAGGAAGCACUCCUUUACAAAACAGAGACACACGUCCUACUUUCUAAAAUUCUCCUAUGGAAGAGAUACAAAAACUCAGCAAAAAAAGAAACGUCCUCUCACUGUCAACAGCGUUUAUUUUCAGGAAACUUAAAUAAAUGUAAAUAUUUCUAUGAACAUAACAAGAAUCAACAACUGAGACAUAAACUGAACAAGUUCCACAUACAUGUGACAAAAAGAAAUGGAGUAAUGUGUCCCUGAACAAAGGGGGGGUCAAAAUCAAAAGUAACAGUCAGUAUCUGGUGUGGCCUCCAGCUGCAUAAAGUACUGCAGUGCAUCUCCCCCUCAUGGACUGCACCAGAUUUGCCAGUUCUUGCUGUGAGACGCUACCCCACUCUUCCACCAAGGCACCUGCAAGUUCCUGGACAUUUCUGCGGGGAAUGGCCCUAUGUCACGUCCUGACCAAAUCUCUGUUUUCUAGCCCUCCCGGUUCUGACCUGUUCUGCCUGCCCUGACACUGAGCACGCCUUCCUGACCAUUCAGCCUGCCCUGACCUCGAGCCUGCCUGCCCCCUGUACCUUUUGGACUCUGAUUUGGUUAAUGAACUUCUGCCUGUUCUCGACCUGCCCAAUGCCUGCCCCUUGUAUUCUAAUAAAUAUCAGCGACGCUAACUAUCUGCCUCCUGUGUCUGCAUCUGGGUCUCGCCCUGUGUCGUUAUACAGUUUGGUUUCGGUAGAUAAGUUACUGCCAAUGAACGCUAAUGUUAGCAUUUUCGGAAGAAAUACAUUACUUUACUCAGCAAAGUAUGUCUAAAGUUGUGUAACACUUUUACAACAGUCUGACACUUUUGUAAUAAAAUUGUCAAUAUAUUUUCUUAAAUAUCUUCUGUAUUGUGUGCUUAUUGUUUAACCAUUCAUACAGUAUGUUCUAGGGCAGUGGUUCUCAAACGUUUUCGGUUACUGUACCACCAACUGAAUUUUGCUCUGCCUGGAGUACCCCCUCAUGUGCAUUUUACCAGUAAGCCUAUGAUCUCAUGAGUCUUCUAAAGUACCCCCUGGUUGGGAACCACUGUUCUAGGGGACAUUAAGACCUUAACCCCUGUUGGUAUAAGUCCUUAAAUAGCAAUAUCUACUAAACUAACAUAUGGAAUUAUUUUAAG
rnacentral:lncRNA from 1 species